CCACAGUCUAGCACGAUCCAUGCAGCACAUUUAUUGUCCCCACAGUCCAAGCAUGGCUGUGAUUGAGGGGCUUUUACUUCUACCGUAAGGUCCUGACACCACUCGAUCCAAUCGUCAGGAAGAUGAACACAGGCACAUCGCGCAUCGUUAGAGUAGGGCUUAAGGUGUUGCAAAUAGGGUCGCAAUAUCAGCGUCAGUUUGUUGUGCACCCUCUCUUUGUCCUCCGGUGACAAGGCCGCGACAGUCCUCAACAUCUGGUACAGCUCGAGUCCACUUCGCGGGGAUCCACAAGGGUCCUGUUGGAGAGGAAACACAAAGAUAUCCCCUCCCCCAGUAUAGUAGCCUGGCAGCUACUCCUGCUACAUAAAGGGAGUCAGUCACAAUAUUCAAAGGACCUUUUAAAUUCAUCAUUGACCAUACUACAGCUAAAAGUUCCAAUGUCUGUAGACUGUCCCUGGCAUCUGCAUCUAACAAAUGUUGUCACCACUGUCUUUGCUGUUUCCAUGUCACGGCUGCUCUCCUGGACUUUUUACCAGCGUCCGUAAAGGCCGUGAUAGCCCCCCUUAAUGGUGACAGACUCUGAAUGGGCUUUGUUAUCCAGUCCCAUUCUGUCAUCCACUGGAGGGGACUAGGAUGCAUUUUCCCAGUCUCCACGACAGCUCCAGCUCCUAAAAGGGCUUCCUGGAGCUCCCCAGAGUUCACCAAAUACCAGUCAAGCGUGUCCUUUUUAAUGGGCAAUCGUAUUGUUGAAGGCUCUGCUCCUGUAACUUGGAUUGCCCUAAAACGUCCUUUCUUUAUGAGGGAUGCAAUCAUUUCAAUUUUCAGUCUCACAGUUUUCUGUUGCUGUAGCGGUGGAGAGAGCCACUCCAAUACCCUGAGCUCCCCCGUUUUCUUUUCAAGCUGAGACAGGGCACCUGUUAAAACACAAACAAAUCCCACAUCCCUGCAGGACUGAAGAAUCUUCUCAAAAUCUUGGAGAUUAUCCCAAUGGCAUUCGGCUCACGUCAGCUGUUCCAGGAGCAGAUAUCAAAGUACUCAUAAAUUUCAAUGCACCAAAUCCUCAGGACAGGAAGAAGUUUACAGAUGAUUUGAGGGAAUCAAUUGCAGAAGUUCAAGAAAUGGAAAAGCACAGAAUAGAGUCCGAGCUGGAGAAGCAGAAGGGGGUGGUGCGUCCCAGCAUGUCGCAGUGCUCCAGCCUGAAGAAGGACUCCGGGAACGGGACCCUGCCCCGGGCGUGCCUGGACGACAGCUACGCCGGCGGCGAGGGGCUGAAGCGGAGCGCGCUCAGCUCCUCCCUGCGCGACGUGUCCGAAGCAGGUAA